CGUGAGUGAGCGGUAUGGUCCGGUCUGCAGCCAUCCACCAAGUAAACCGCAACCAGGGAUGGACUUCCAGAGAAUAGCAGGUCUCCACGGCGCUGACCAAGGACGAACACGUCAGCACACAGGUUACCUGUAGCGUCAUAACACCUACCUCCUUUAAAGCACACCUCUUCCUGUGAUCCCAAUAUUCCCAGUCUGACGAAGCGCAGAAGCUCGCAACGGUCCAUCACCGAGUCGAUACCCCAGCUCCUAUGCAGCUCCCCCACCUGUGUACCCCUAUGUUGUAAGUUUUGCAAUAAACUACCACUGCAGAAGAAGCUUGGGUUUCUGUGUUCAACAGCGGCAGCAAAUCCAUCUUCUUUCCCCCUACUAUACCUGGCUCGAGUGUAGACCUAUGGAAAGGAGUGUUGUCUGACAUGCAGGCUGUCAUUUACCCACAAGACCCCCCCUUAUUUGUCCGCCACAGAGCAAAUGGCUCUAAGAAAUACCUUAAAAAUAAUACUAAUAUCAUAAUUA